rnacentral:rRNA from 1 species
GUCUAUGGCCAUGCCAUCCUGAACAAGCGGGAUCCCAUCUGAUCUCGGAAGCUAAGCAGGGUCGGGUCUGGUUACUACUUGGAUGGGAGACCACCUAGGAAGACAGGUGCUACAGGCC